GACGAACGCUGGCGGCGUGCUUAACACAUGCAAGUCGAACGGAAAGGCCCUGCUUGCAGGGUGCUCGAGUGGCGAACGGGUGAGUAACACGUGGGUGAUCUGCCCCUUACUUUGGGAUAAGCCUGGGAAACUGGGUCUAAUACUGGAUAGGACCAUGCUGUAGGUGGUGUGGUGGAAAGAUUAGUUUCGGUAAGGGAUGAGCUCGCGGCCUAUCAGCUUGUUGGUGGGGUAAUGGCCUACCAAGGCGUCGACGGGUAGCCGGCCUGAGAGGGUGGACGGCCACAUUGGGACUGAGAUACGGCCCAGACUCCUACGGGAGGCAGCAGUGGGGAAUAUUGCACAAUGGGCGCAAGCCUGAUGCAGCGACGCCGCGGGUGGGAUGACGGCCUUCGGGUUGUAAACUCCUUUCAGCCAUGACGAAGCCCUUGUGGUGACGGUAGUGGUAGAAGAAGCACCGGCUAACUACGUG
rnacentral:rRNA from 1 species